rnacentral:rRNA from 1 species
AUUGAACGCUGGCGGCAGGCCUAACACAUGCAAGUCGAGCGGAUGAAGGGAGCUUGCUCCUGGAUUCAGCGGCGGACGGGUGAGUAAUGCCUAGGAAUCUGCCUGGUAGUGGGGGAUAACGUCCGGAAACGGGCGCUAAUACCGCAUACGUCCUGAUGGAGAAAGUGGGGGAUCUUCGGACCUCACGCUAUCAGAUGAGCCUAGGUCGGAUUAGCUAGUUGGUGGGGUAAAGGCCUACCAAGGCGACGAUCCGUAACUGGUCUGAGAGGAUGAUCAGUCACACUGGAACUGAGACACGGUCCAGACUCCUACGGGAGGCAGCAGUGGGGAAUAUUGGACAAUGGGCGAAAGCCUGACGCAGCAAUGCCGCGUGUGUGAAGAAGGUCUUCGGAUUGUAAAGCACUUUAAGUUGGGAAGAAGGGAAGUAAGUUAAUACCUUGCUGUUUUGACGUUACCAACAGAAUAAGCACCGGCUAACUUCGUG